UUAACAAACCAUAGGGACAAAAAGAGUAAUUAACUCUAACUGAAAUCACUCAUCCACCCCUUUUAAUCAACCCAUUACAGACACGUGGAUCUUUCUUACAUCUCAUCAUCUUCUUCAUACAAUGAUGUUGUAGAGCCUGCAAAUAGGGAUGUGGGCGUUCCCAAACCUCUUGAUUGUUUGUAGGGGACACCGGUCCCGCCUUUUUUGUCGAAAACUUACGAUUUGGUGGAUGAUCCCAGAGAAAAAUGCAUAUUUGCUUGCAGAUCAAAUUGAUCUAUUCUUCGAACUCCAUAAGCUCUUUUCGAAUUUUCAAGUUUUUUAUUUGAAGAUUCAACUCAAUUGAAGUGCCGACCUGCAACUUGCCGGAAAAACAAAGUUGAAGGUUCACGCGCGAAAAUCGAGGGUGGUUCAGAUUUGGUCGUAUAACCACCCCCAUACCACAAAACACUCGUUUUGGUUCAGCUUGGGGUGGCGUCUAAACACUGGUAGUGCGGUGGGCACCGGAGACGAACCGGCCGAUGGAGAGCAUCGGACCAGUGGAGCUGUGGAGAAGAUGGGGUAAUGAUGAAGAGAAUUGUGGGUCCCACUUGAUUUAAAUAUAUUUUUUUUUACAUUUGAGUUAUUAUUUAAUAACAAGGGCAUUUUAGUAA